rnacentral:rRNA from 1 species
AAUCUUAUGGUUUUAUAUAAGACAAUUUCUGCCCAAUGAUUUUUUUAAUGGCCGCAGUACCUUGACUGUGCUAAGGUAGCAUAAUAAAUUGGCUUUUAAAUGGAGUCUAGAAUGAAAGAACACUUGGGUAAAAAUUGUCUUUACUUUGUUUUAUUGAAUUUUUUUAUUAAGUGAAAAUACUUAAAUUUAUUUAGAAAGACGAGAAGACCCUUAGAAUUUUAAAAAAAAUUAAUUUUUAUUUUUUGUUGGGGUGACACAUUAACAUUUUAAACUUUUUUUUUAACUAGACAGAUUUUCAAGAUAGAGAAAAUUACCUUAGGGAUAACAGCAUAAUUUUUUUUUAAGAUUAUGACCUCGAUGUUGGACUAGGAACCUAAUAAUUAGUAAUUAAAUUGGUUAGUUCUGUUCGAACUAUUUUCUCCU